rnacentral:rRNA from 1 species
GCUAUGCAUCCAACGCGUUGGGAGCUCUCCCAUAUGGUCGACCUGCAGGCGGCCGCGAAUUCACUAGUGAUUAGAGUUUGAUCAUGGCUCAGGAUGAACGCUAGCGGCAGGCUUAACACAUGCAAGUCGAGGGGCAGCACGAGUAGCAAUACUUGGUGGCGACCGGCGCACGGGUGCGUAACGCGUAUAGAACCUACCUUUUACAGAGGGAUAGCCCAGAGAAAUUUGGAUUAAUACCUCAUAGCAUUACAGAAUGGCAUCAUUCGGUAAUUAAAGAUUUAUCGGUAAGAGAUGGCUAUGCGUCCUAUUAGUUAGUUGGUGAGGUAACGGCUCACCAAGACAGCGAUAGGUAGGGGUCCUGAGAGGGAGAUCCCCCACACUGGUACUGAGACACGGACCAGACUCCUACGGGAGGCAGCAGUGAGGAAUAUUGGACAAUGGGCGCAAGCCUGAUCCAGCCAUGCCGCGUGCAGGAAGA